rnacentral:rRNA from 1 species
AUGAGUCUGAUAUAUUCCGAUGGAACCUCCAUUGGAAUGGACAAUUCUCUUAUGUAUAGAGCGUUAAUCCAGCCUAAUAUGCCAGUUGACAAUAACAAGAAGAUCUGGAAGAUGAAGAUACCUCUUAAGAGUAAAAUCUUUGCAUGGUAUCUUCGUCGAGGAGUCAUUUUUUCUAAAGAUACCCUUAUUAAGAAGAAUUGGCAUGGAAGUUCACAAUGUCUCUUUUGUCACCACGAUGAGACAAUAAAACAUUUAUUCUUCCAAUGCAAAUUAGCUCAUUCUAUAUGGUCAGUCAUCCAAAUAGCUUCUGUCUUGUAUCCUCCCUGUAGUGUUGCUAAUGUAUUUGGCAACUGGUUAGAUGGGAUUGAUCACAAGUUUAGAACUCUUCUCAACGUGGGAGCGCUUACCAUUAUUUGGUUGCUUUGGCUAUGUAGAAAUGAUAAGAUUUUUAAAAAUAAAAGUACUUCUCUGUUGUAG